rnacentral:rRNA from 1 species
CCUACGGGAGGCAGCAGUGGGGGAUAUUGCACAAUGGGGGAAACCCUGAUGCAGCGACGCCGCGUGGGUGAAGAAGCGCCUCGGCGCGUAAAGCCCUGUCAGCAGGGAAGAAAAUGACGGUACCUGAAGAAGAAGCCCCGGCUAACUACGUGCCAGCAGCCGCGGUAAUACGUAGGGGGCAAGCGUUAUCCGGAUUUAAUGGGUGUAAAGGGGGCGCAGACGGCGAUGCAAGCCAGGAGUGAAAGCCCGGGGCCCAACCCCGGGACUGCUCUUGGAACUGCGUGGCUAGAGUGCAGGAGGGGAAGGCGGAAUUCCUGGUGUAGCGGUGAAAUGCGUAGAUAUCAGGAGGAACACCGGUGGCGAAGGCGGCCUGCUGGACUGCAACUGACGUUGAGGCCCGAAAGCGUGGGGAGCAAACAGGAUUAGAUACCCCAGUAGUC